UAACGAAACUCCAACAUGGCGGCUCAACCUGGCUCAUUUGCAUAAUUUAUUCAUAAACGCAGGAGCAUAGAACUUUCAGUUUGUUAGUGGGGCAGGUAUUAAUAAUUGUCAUUUAACAGUAACUGUAUAAACCUUUUGAUUGAAAUUUCCUAUAAACCCCCACCCCCCUAAAUUUCUUUAUUUUCAAUAUUUUAUAAACUUUAGAAUGAAAAGACAAAUAAACAUAUAUAGUUCUAUAUUAUUAUCACACAUUUAUAAUAAAUGUUCCUUUGUAAGGGUGCAACUAUUCAGCUUUCUCUGGAUUUGAUUCUUAAUUCCAUUAAUUUCGAUUUGAUUAUUGAGGCUAAGUUAACAUUAAUUUUAUAUAGGGAAUACUUUAAAAAUAAUUUUUAACUACACUUAAACUUUAUUUAGGACAGCAAAGAAAAACAUACUGAAUAAAACUUUUAAACAACAUAGCUAGAAAACAGAAACCAUAUCAUGUUACAUUCAACGUGUUUUGAUUUGGAUAAGCAAGAACACGUUGUCAAGUAAAGAAACGCUUAUAUUAUAUAUAAUAUUCAAAUAUAAAACAUUCAAUUAAUAUCAGAAAGUCAAAGUGUUUUUCCCCUACUUUGAGAAUGGUGCUGGUACAAUUAACGGUACCGGACAGAUUGGGAAAAAAUCCAUCGGUUUGACUUAAAUUGGGAAUUUUAUUUUAGAUGCAAAAUAUUUAUUGGGAAUUUCUUUUAUCCAGGGAGGUGAUGAAAAUUUUGCAUAAUUAUACACUUUAAAAUCAUGUAUUAUUAACUUUAAAGCUUAUUUUUGCUGCUUGAGGUUGAAAAAAAAAUUGAUAAUCAUAACAAUUGUACAUAAAUAAUGUUUAGUAGGUGUGAAACGUAAAGGGGAGCGGUGGCCUAGUGGUUAAGGUGUCUGCCUCUCAAACCAGAGAUCAUGGGUUCGAGCCCUAUACGGGUCACGACCAUAUUUCUUCAUAUGACACCAGUACUGGUUGGUUCCAGGAAGCGGACUCGAAAGUGAUUGAUAUAAGUUGCAAGAACUUGUUUCGCAAUCGAGCUAAAAUAAAUAUGUUUAAAACCUUAAACAUAAAGUACGAAAUGAACUGGGUACGAAUAUCACUCAUGUGGUUUUACUUGGUUUUUAUCGUAUAUCACUUAUCAAUACGGAAGGCUCCGAGGCAUGCAUUACUGUUUUUAGAGGUAAUUUUCAGUGUUAAAUUUGGAAUUUAUCAGUCAUGAAUUGGAAAAUUUGCUGUCUAUUUUCUAUUGGGAACGGUGCCGUUUUCCGGUAUCUGAGUUAUAUAAGGAAAAAUACUGGGUUGUUGUUAAGAUUUUAGUCAUUGACUAGAUUUCUACCAGAAUUUUUUUGUUUUUACUCUUCUUGUGCAAGUUGUGGUUAUAGAGUGUGAUGAACAUAUUGACUCUUUGUAAAACGCUUAAAUACAAAGACAGUUGCUAAAAAAUAUCAAGAUCUCAAGUUUGUUUUGCCCCUGUCUUGCAUAUCUGUAAUGGAAGAACAGUUAUUAUGGAUAAAUACAGGUACUUCAAUAAAAUGUAAUUUUGGGUACUGUCAGAUCUACAUGUUACGCUACAAGUUUCUUCUCAUAAUUACAUAUUUAACAACUAGUAUGGCUAAUCAGUACAAAAUUUUGGAGGUGUUACACUACAAGGCAGAAGAGAAUAUCUGUCCUUGCAAGCAGUCUUGAAGACCUUCUGAAGAAAGCUGGUGACAAGCAACAGUUGCAAGGAGGAAGUUUGAUUGUUGUGCUGGAAAAAGAUGUGACAGAAAUGGAAGAAAACGCCAUCCUUGACAUAUUCAAAACUAAGUAUUGAUGCUUCUAGAAGACCAACAAUUAUGAGAACCAGAUAUUCCAAAAGACACUGUUGUAAUGUUUGGGCAGACACCCAAGAUGCCAACAUGUCAAAGACUGAGACAGAGUCCACAACUGUUACCAUAGCGACAGAAAUUGUAACACCAUCUUAUGUUGUUGGAAAUUAAAUUAAUUCUUGCAGUAGGCCACAUCCAACCAUUUGUUGACAAUCUAGAGAUAUUGUUUGAAGCAGUAGCUACACUUAAACCUGGAGGAAAAGAGUGCAAAGAUGAUUUGGACGUUAUAAGAGCCAUAGAAAGUAAUACAGGAUUCAAACAUGGAAAGGGGUGCAAGACUAGAUAAAUUGUAGUUCUACAUAAGGAUAUUGAAGAAGCUAAUCUGUUAAAGGUCCUGUCAUCACAGCCUAAUACUCCUCCAAGUGAAGCCUUGUUUUUAUUUUUAACAACAUAGAACUGGACAAACAGUAUAUUGUUGGAGACCAGUGCAAGAUACCACUUGAGACAGAUAGCCUCAUGGAAGGGCUAUUCUUAUUGAUAAGCUGGUAUUAUAUAAUGGAUCUAGAAAAUCCCACUGCUUUUCACAACUCCUUGGAUUCAUGCAACAAACAUUAUUUAAACAAGCCUUUCUUAGUCACAAGUCGGCUGGGUAUUUACACUUUGUGGAACAAUUGGAAAAACUAAUGAACAAAUAGAACCAACAUUUUAAAUAAAAUUCAACCUUCUGUGUCAUGGACAUAUUAUUGACUUCUUAACAGCUUACAUUUUACCAUGAAAAAACCUGCUUUUUUUGCACUUACAAAAACAAAGGUGCAGAAUAGCUGUGUGGUAACCAUCAGCUGAUCAGUGCCUUUAUUUUUGCUGCAUAGAUGGUGCAAUCCCUCCCCUUCCAGGCUUCCUUAAUCAGACAUUGAAAUCCUCUUGAUGUCUGAACAUGAAGCUGUAUAUUUUGGCUCUAUUUCAAAUAGCAAAUGUCAAGUGUCAAUAUUUUUCAAAACAGCUAAGACUAUGCUUCUUUUUAGGAACUUUUAAAUCCAGUGAUUUAUCAAAUUAUUAUUCACUAGCAGAAAAGAUUGACUUAAUAAUGCAGUGUUUAAACACUAAUUUUAUUAUUUAUGACAUCAGUUUGUUAUUGCAGACUGUGACAUUUUUAUGUCAAUGAAGCAUUAAAAUGCCAUAUUUUAUAAAUUGUUUAUUACAGUUAAGAAGUAUUAGUGCUAUUUGUUGUUUGCAAAUGUUAAUAUGCUCUUAUUUUGUACAUGCUAUAGUAAGUUUAAUAUAUUGCAUUGAUGUCUUAAAUAAGUUUGUAUUUUGUUGAUGUAUUACUGUCUAACUUUAACACAUGCUCACUUCAUUAUCAUAUCAGAUAUCAGAUUUAUUAAAUUUUCAUUUACUGAUUUCAAGUGGUAAGCAGAAUUAUUUACAGAGAUCACUAGUUUUCACUGAUCAGGCACCUUUGUUGUGCAUUUAAAUUUUGGUGUUUUCGGAGUCAAAGAAAUGAUUUAUCAAAAUAUUGUAUAAAGUUGCAUUGUAACAUUUUAGAGUGCUAAAGUGUACCAUUUUUUUGUCUAAGCCUUAAGCGCACCACAACAAAAGAUAUUUAUGAACCAUCAGGAUAUAUACUGUUACUGGAUGAAAAUAGAGCACUAGUGCACAGACUUUU